rnacentral:rRNA from 1 species
CCAGACUCCUACGGGAGGCAGCAGUGAGGAAUAUUGGUCAAUGGGCGAGAGCCUGAACCAGCCAAGUCGCGUGAGGGAAGACGGCCCUACGGGUUGUAAACCUCUUUUGUCAGGGAGCAAGAACGGAUACGUGUAUCCGAGCGAGAGUACCUGAAGAAAAAGCAUCGGCUAACUCCGUGCCAGCAGCCGCGGUAAUACGGAGGAUGCGAGCGUUGUCCGGAUUUACUGGGUGUAGAGGGCGUGUAGCCGGGCUGACAAGUCAGAUGUGAAAUCCGGGGGCUCAACCCCCGAACUGCAUUUGAAACUGUUGGUCUUGAGUAUCGGAGAGGCAGGCGGAAUUCCUAGUGUAGCGGUGAAAUGCGUAGAUAUUAGGAGGAACACCAGUGGCGAAGGCGGCCUGCUGGACGACAACUGACGGUGAGGCGCGAAAGCGUGGGGAGCAAACAGGAUUAGAUACCCUUGUAA